AUCAAAGAUCCAAUUUUUGUGGUGGUUGCUGCAAUAAAAAAUGCAGAAGAUGGAAGCAAAUUUCAAACAGCAACAACUCCCAAUAAUCAGAUUACUCAAGGUGAUGUUUCAAGCCACUAUGUGCAACAACAACUUACUACAUCUGGUACCAAUGCUGAUGGUCGACCAGAAACAACACCUAACAAUUCCGUACAACAGCAGGAACAACAAAAUGCAAUCAUGGCAGGAGCUGUAGGUACACUUACAACUGGUGAGCAGUAGCAGCAGGACAUAAUGUCACCAGCUAUCACUUUGGAGGACAGGAAUUUGCUUGAUGCCUUGGUAUGUUCCAC
rnacentral:lncRNA from 1 species